UGUAGGUCUGUGAAGGUGUCUCGUAAGGGAUGCUGGAGAUAUCAGAAGUGCGAAUGCUGACAUGAGUAGCGAUAAAGGGCGUGAAAAGCGCCCUCGCCGAAAGCCCAAGGUUUCCUACGCAACGUUCAUCGGCGUAGGGUGAGUCGGCCCCUAAGGCGAGGCUGAAAAGCGUAGUCGAUGGGAAACAGGUCAAUAUUCCUGUACCUUAUACAAGUGCGAUGUGGGGACGGAGAAGGUUAGGUCAGCCGGGUGUUGGACGUCCCGGUUUAAGCGUGUAGGCGUGCCCCUUAGGCAAAUCCGGGGGGCUGAGCUGAGGCGUGAUGACGAGGAACCACGGUUCCGAAGUGAUUGAUACCAAGCUUCCAGGAAAAGCCACUAAGCUUCAGCUUGUAUGAGACCGUACCGCAAACCGACACAGGUGGGCAGGAUGAAAAUUCUAAGGCGCUUGAGAGAACUCAGGAGAAGGAACUCGGCAAAUUGACACCGUAACUUCGGGAGAAGGUGUGCCCCGGU
rnacentral:rRNA from 1 species